AAAUAUCUAGUUAAUAAUAUAACAAAAGACUGUCAGUCCUUAAUUACUCUAAAGAGUGAUAUUUA
rnacentral:tRNA from 1 species